GAAAUGCGAUAAAUAGUAUAAAUUACAGAAUUUAGUAAAUUAUUAAAGCUUGAAACGCACAUUGCGCCCCUUAGUAUUCUAUAGGGUAUGCCUGUUCGAGCGUUAUCUACACCCUCAAGCUCUGCUUAGUGUUAGGCGUCUAUCCCACCUUCGCGCGUAGACUCGCCCCAAAUACAUUAGUAGCGGUCCUUACCCCCUCCCGCGCAGCACAUUGCGCUUCUCGAGGCUGCGGUGGCCCACGUCUAACAAGCUAAACCCCCCCAUCUUUAACCUUAGAUCAGGUAGGGAUACCCGCUGAACUUAAGC
rnacentral:misc_RNA from 1 species